AAAAUAGUUAACUUAAUUACAUUCAAAAGCGAUACAAACACAAGUAUUUGAUUAAAUAAAAAGCUAUUUUACAGUGUUUUGGAGGCGGAGGCAGAGGCAGAGGCUCUCUACCACUCUUGCCACCUCAUUAACCCCUCAGGCUUCCACACUAGCUGCAGGCACCACCUUCAUCCAGCUGCAGUACACCAUGAUUCCCACUCCAAGGUGGAUUCCUCCCCGGUUUGUAUCAAACUAUUGUUGGAUUCCAGGUUCCCCAUCCUUCAAAGAUGUGGUAUAACGACUGGAAGAGCCACUUCAUCAUUGAUCUAGCACUUCAUGAUUAUCUCUUCAGGGCCUUCAAGACUAGAGUAAUCAAGCUACUCUAGAUAGGACACGUACUUGGAUGUCCUUACAGGGAAGAUGCAACUCAUUCAAUGGCAAGUCAGUGAAUUCCAAGGCAAGUAGAUUAUCAGCUAAGGAUGGCUUAGUUCAUUGUGGUCAGUCAAUCACCAAAGGAGGUAAGUCAACAAGUUGCUUAUAUACUACAACUAAUUGAUAAGCAAUUAAUCAUACCAAUUACCAGGUUAUAAAUUUCCAAUUCCAGCCAAGAAGCUGAACUGGAAGCCUAUCUGGUUAAGUCUUCAAGCAGGUUCACAUGAGAAAUGUUCCAAAGUUUUGAAAUUUAAUACUACAAGCCAUUUCUUUCCCUUGCUUCUGCUCUAAAAUCCCUACUCACAAACAACCCUUAGAUUUCUCAUAGUAAAAUAAUGUUAUCAAUAUUUCAUUAGAUCAAGUGAAUCAAAAUUUAUUCCUUUAGAAAAUAAUAUAAGAUCUCAAGUUUAAGUCUUGUAUAUAAGGAGGGAGGGAGGGAGAACAACCUUUGUGGAACAAAUCAAUUAAUUCCUAUUUAACUUUAAUACUAGAGGACCAAAAAAAAAAGAAGAAGAAAACAGUGAUAAUAAUCGGCUAUACACACUUUCAAAUGCGCCACCGCUACAUGUGCAUAAUGUUCAGUGUUAAUAUCGUUCAACUUGUUUCUUUUUUCUUAAUUUUUUCCUUAAUUCAAGCUCUAAUUUCACCCAAAUGCAUUCCCUAAUGUAAUUGCCACAACCAAUGGAAGAAAAAAAGUGCUAUGAAUCAAC